AGUGAACGCUGGCGGUAGGCCUAACACAUGCAAGUCGAACGGCAGCACAGGAGAGCUUGCUCUCUGGGUGGCGAGUGGCGGACGGGUGAGGAAUACAUCGGAAUCUACUCUGUCGUGGGGGAUAACGUAGGGAAACUUACGCUAAUACCGCAUACGACCUACGGGUGAAAGCAGGGGAUCUUCGGACCUCGCGCGAUUGAAUGAGCCGAUGUCGGAUUAGCUAGUUGGCGGGGUAAAGGCCCAACAAGGCGACGAUCCGUAGCUGGUCUGAGAGGAUGAUCAGCCACACUGGAACUGAGACACGGUCCAGACUCCUACGGGAGGCAGCAGUGGGGAAUAUUGGACAAUGGGCGCAGGCCUGAUCCAGCCAUACCGCGUGGGUGAAGAAGGCCUUCGGGUUGUAAAGCCCUUUUGUUGGGAAAGAAAUCCAGCUGGCUAAUACCCGGUUGGGAUGACGGUACCCAAAGAAUAAGCACCGGCUAACUUCGUGCCAGCAGCCGCAGUAA
rnacentral:rRNA from 1 species